rnacentral:lncRNA from 1 species
GUUUGCAGCUUCCCACCUGCAUACAGCACACCAGGAGACAGAAAUAAGGCAUUCUGUGCAGAGCUAAUCAUAAUCAAUUCAGUUCUUGAAUGGAUCAUCAGAUAUAAGCCAAGUGCUCCCUUUCCACUGCUUCAUAUACUGCUAUUUCCUUUCAGGAAGAUACCACCAAUUUCCUCCUUCAGAUCCCUCCAACUCUUCAUAAAUGAGGAAAAAGCCACUACCAUUGAACCACAGGACUUGAACUGAAGAUUUAGUUCUCCAGACAAAUCGCUAAACUUCUUUCCACCUCAGCUCCUGACCACUAUUUUGAGAUGGGGU